GACGAACGCUGGCGGCGUGCCUAAUACAUGCAAGUCGAACGCAGUGGGGACGGGUGAGUAACACGUGGGUAACCUCCCAUCAGAGGGGAUAACACUUGGAAACAGGUGCUAAACCGAUACUGAUGGAUGGACCCGGUGUGCAUUAGGUAGUUGGUGGGGUAACGGCUCACCAAGGCCACGAUCCAUAGCCGACCUGAGAGGGUGAUAGGCCACACUGGGACUGAGACACGGCCCAGACUCCUACGGGAGGCAGCAGUGGGGAAUCUUCGGCAAUGGACGAAAGUCUGACCGAGCAACGCCGCGUGAGUGAAGAAGGUUUUCGGAUCGUAAAACUCUGUUGUUGGAGAAGCGGUAUCUGAACAGAAAGCCACGGCUAACUACGUGCCAGCAGCCGCGGUAAUUC
rnacentral:rRNA from 1 species